UAACCAGAUUCGAGGGCCUGCA
rnacentral:siRNA from 1 species